rnacentral:rRNA from 1 species
GAUGAACGCUAGCUACAGGCUUAACACAUGCAAGUCGCGGGGCAGCAUGGGGGUUGCUUGCCAUCCCCGAUGGCGACCGGCGCACGGGUGAGUAACGCGUAUCCAACCUGCCCUUCACCACGGGAUAACCCGGCGAAAGUCGGACUAAUACCGUAUGUUGUCCAUUGACGGCAUCCGAUUUGGACGAAAGGCUUGGCGGUGAGGGAUGGGGAUGCGUCCGAUUAGCCAGACGGCGGGGUAACGGCCCACCGUGGCUACGAUCGGUAGGGGUUCUGAGAGGAAGGUCCCCCACACUGGAACUGAGACACGGUCCAGACUCCUACGGGAGGCAGCAGUGAGGAGUAUUGGUCAAUGGGCGUAAGCCUGAACCAGCCAAGUAGCGUGCAGGAUGACGGCCCUAUGGGUUGUAAACUGCUUUUAUGCGGGGAUAAAGUGGCCCACGUGUGGGCUUUUGCAGGUACCGCAUGAAUAAGGACCGGCUAAUUCCGUG